AAGGCCCAACACGAUCGACCACCUUCUCUCCGUCGUCCUCGUCCACCCCUCUUCUCCCCCUUCCACCGGCGAUGAGACUCCGGCUAACCGGCGCCACCCCCAGCCCAAAUAUAAAAACAAUCGCCGUCGAUAUCCUGGCGAAGCACCCUACGCCCAAUACGCGUCCGACGCCCCCCCCGCCGUGGCUCCAUCGUUUCGCCUCGCCUCCGACUACGGCGGCACGCACGCGGCUAGCCACAUACUGAAGCAAUGGCAGGGCAUUUGAUGCAGCGUCCUGCAAUGUGCCACAGGAGCCAAUUAAGAAUAUGGACCAUCAGAAGGAUUUUUAAAGCUGGAUGUUGAUCCAUGCUUCAAAGAGAUCAAGAGGUCCGGCGAUAUUGAUAUUGUAACCGUGAUCAGUUAAUAAACUUGCUGGAGUUAAUAAGUACUCCAGCCGUUGACUGACUUCUCAAGGGAAGCACAAGGGGGGAAGGCAUUGCCUUUUGAACAAAGUCUGAGUUUCAUUUUGUUCUUUCGUUGGAGGCAUGCAUAUGAGAUUUUUGACAGAAGUUUUAGAAUUUUCCAAAGUUGUGUCCAUGCAUGUUUCUCUCAUAACUUUUGUCUGGCAAGAUAUAUAUGGUUUGAUUAAUGCA